ensembl:snRNA U6 U6 spliceosomal RNA
GUGCCUGCUUCGGCAGCACAUACACUAAAACUGGAACAAGACAGAGAAGAUUACCAUGGCCCCCGUGCAAGGAUGACACGCAAAUUCGUGAAUCAUUUCAUAUUUUU